ACCGAGCUCAGAAAAUGACUCGCCACCUCAAGAACCGGCUCAGAUGACAAAGCGACAGUAAGGCCAAAGAGCCUGAAUCUUAUGCAAGACCUCAGUGAGGUAGGUGACCAAGCUCAGAAAAUGACUCGGCACCUCAAGAACCGGCUGAGAUGACGAAGCGACAGUAAGGCCAAAGAGCCUGAAUCUUGUUCAAGACCUCAGUGAGGUAGGUGAACGAGCUCAGAAAAUGACUCGGUACCUCAAGAACCGGCUGAGAUGACGAAGCGAUAGUAAGGCCAAAGAGCCUGAAUCUUGUGCAAAACCUCAGUGAGGUAGGUGACCGAGCUCAGAAAAUGACUCGGCACCUCAAGAACCGGUUGAGAUGACGAAGCGACGGUAAGGCCAAAGAGCCUGAAUCUUGUUCAAGACCUCAGUGAGGUAGGUGACCGAGCUCAGAAAAUGACUUGGCACUUCAAGAACCGGCUGAGAUGACGAAGUGACAGUAAGGUCAAAGAGCCUGAAUUUUGUUCAAGACCUCAGUGAGGUAGGUGACCGAGCUCAGUAAAUGACUCAGCACCUCAAGAACCGGCUGAGAUGACGAAGCGACAGUAAGGCCAAAGAGCCUGAAUCUUGUUCAAUACCUCAGUGAGGUAGGUGACCGAGCUCAGAAAAUGACUCUGCACCUCAAGAACUGACUGAGAUGACAAAGCGACAGUAAGGCCAAAGAGUCUAAAUCUUGUGCAAGACCUCAGUGAGGUAGGUAACCGAGCUCAGAAAAUGACUCGGCACCUCAAGAACCGGCUGAGAUGACGAAAUGACAGUAAGGCCAAAGAGCCUGAAUCUUGUGCAAGACCUCAGUGAGGUAGGUGACCGAGCUCAGAAAAUGACUCGGCACCUCAAGAACCAGCUGAGAUGACGAAGCGACAGUAAGGCCAAAGAGCCUGAAUCUUGUUCAAGACCUUAGUGAGAUAGAUGAUCGAGCUCAGAAAAUGACUCGGCACCUCAAGAACCGGCUGAGAUGAUGAAGCGAUAGUAAGGCCAAAGGGCCUGAAUCUUGUGCAAAACCUUAGUGAGGUAGG
rnacentral:lncRNA from 1 species